ensembl:snRNA U6 U6 spliceosomal RNA
GCGCACACUUUGGCAGCACACAUACUAAAAUUGGUACAAUAUAGAGAAGAUCAGCAUGUCCCUUGUGCAAGGACAUGCAAAUUCAUGAAGCAUUUCACAAAUUA